rnacentral:rRNA from 1 species
GACGAACGCUGGCGGCGUGCUUAACACAUGCAAGUCGAGCGAGUGGAUUCCCUUCGGGGAUGAAGCUAGCGGCGGACGGGUGAGUAACACGUGGGCAACCUGCCUUAUAGAGGGGGAUAGCCUUCCGAAAGGAAGAUUAAUACCGCAUAACAUCAGAUUAUCGCAUGGUAGACUGAUCAAAGGAGCAAUCCGCUAUAAGAUGGGCCCGCGUGGCAUUAGCUAGUUGGUGAGGUAACGGCUCACCAAGGCGACGAUGCGUAGCCGACCUGAGAGGGUGAUCGGCCACAUUGGGACUGAGACACGGCCCAGACUCCUACGGGAGGCAGCAGUGGGGAACAUUGCACAAUGGGGGAAACCCUGAUGCAGCAACGCCGCGUGAGUGAUGAAGGCCUUCGGGUUGUAAAGCUCUUUGAUCAGGGACGAUAAUGACGGUACCUGAAGAACAAGCCACGGCUAACUACGUGCCAGCCGCCGCCGUAACAC